rnacentral:rRNA from 1 species
AUUGAACGCUGGCGGCAGGCCUAACACAUGCAAGUCGAGCGGAUGAAGGGAGCUUGCUCCUGGAUUCAGCGGCGGACGGGUGAGUAAUGCCUAGGAAUCUGCCUGGUAGUGGGGGAUAACGUCCGGAAACGGGCGCUAAUACCGCAUACGUCCUGAGGGAGAAAGUGGGGGAUCUUCGGACCUCACGCUAUCAGAUGAGCCUAGGUCGGAUUAGCUAGUUGGUGGGGAAAAGGCCUACCAAGGCGACGAUCCGUAACUGGUCUGAGAGGAUGAUCAGUCACACUGGAACUGAGACACGGUCCAGACUCCUACGGGAGGCGGCAGUGGGGAAUAUUGGACAAUGGGCGAAAGCCUGAUCCAGCCAUGCCGCGUGUGUGAAGAAGGUCUUCGGAUUGUAAAGCACUUUAAGUUGGGAGGAAGGGCAGUAAGUUAAUACCUUGUUGUUUUGACGUUACCAACAGAAUAAGCACCGGCUAACUUCGUG